UCGUACGGCAGCACAGAGGAGCUUGCUCCUUGGGUGGCGAGUGGCGGACGGGUGAGGAAAACGUCGGAAUCUGCCUAUUUGUGGGGGAUAACGUAGGGAAACUUACGCUAAUACCGCAUACGACCUACGGGUGAAAGUGGGGGACCGCAAGGCCUCACGCAGAUAGAUGAGCCGACGUCGGAUUAGCUAGUUGGCGGGGUAAAGGCCCACCAAGGCGACGAUCCGUAGCUGGUCUGAGAGGAUGAUCAGCCACACUGGAACUGAGACACGGUCCAGACUCCUACGGGAGGCAGCAGUGGGGAAUAUUGGACAAUGGGCGCAAGCCUGAUCCAGCCAUGCCGCGUGUGUGAAGAAGGCCUUCGGGUUGUAAAGCACUUUUGUCCGGAAAGAAAAGCUUAGGGUUAAUAACCUUGAGUCAUGACGGUACCGGAAGAAUAAGCACCGGCUAACUUCGUGCCAGCAGCCGCGGUAAUACGAAGGGUGCAAAGCGUUACUCGGAAUUACUGGGCGUAAAGCGUGCGUAGGUGGUUUGUUAAGUCUGAUGUGAAAGCCCUGGGCUCAACCUGGGAAUGGCAUUGGAAACUGGCUUACUAGAGUGCGGUAGAGGGUAGUGGAAUUCCCGGUGUACAAUGAAAUGCGUAAAAUCGGGAGGACU
rnacentral:rRNA from 1 species